GUUCUCCUAGCAACAGGUUCUCACUGUGAUCUGCAGAGUAUAAAGCCUACAUCUGAGAUCAUCGUGAAAGCCAGUUGCUUACGAACU
rnacentral:pre_miRNA from 1 species